GAUGAAGAACGCAGCGAAAUGCGAUACUUGGUGUGAAUUGCAGAAUCCCGUGAACCAUCGAGUCUUUGAACGCAAGUUGCGCCCGAAGCCAUUAGGCCGAGGGCACGCCUGCCUGGGCGUCACACGUCGUUGCCCCCCCAUCUACUCCUUCGGGAUUGCGGGGGGCGGAUGAUGGCCUCCCGUGCGCCUCGUCGCGCGGUUGGCAUAAAUGCCAAGUCCUCGGCGACGCACGCCACGACAAUCGGUGGUUGCGAAACCUCGGUUGCCCGUCGUGUGCGGUCGUCGCGCAUCGAGGGCUCGAAAAAAUUGUCAGGCUCCGGCUCGGCUUUCAACGCGACCCCAGGUCAGGCGGGGUUACCCGCUGAAUUUAAGCAUAUCAAUAAGCGGAGGA
rnacentral:misc_RNA from 1 species